rnacentral:tRNA from 1 species
AGGGCUAUAGCUUUGUGGUACAGAACUUGCCUAGCAAGUGUGAGGUCCUGGGUUCAAACCCAGUACCCCUC